rnacentral:rRNA from 1 species
GAUGAACGCUGGCGGCGUGCCUAAUACAUGCAAGUCGAGCGAACGGACGAGAAGCUUGCUUCUCUGAUGUUAGCGGCGGACGGGUGAGUAACACGUGGAUAACCUACCUAUAAGACUGGGAUAACUUCGGGAAACCGGAGCUAAUACCGGAUAAUAUUUUGAACCGCAUGGUUCAAUAGUGAAAGACGGUUUUGCUGUCACUUAUAGAUGGAUCCGCGCUGCAUUAGCUAGUUGGUAAGGUAACGGCUUACCAAGGCAACGAUGCAUAGCCGACCUGAGAGGGUGAUCGGCCACACUGGAACUGAGACACGGUCCAGACUCCUACGGGAGGCAGCAGUAGGGAAUCUUCCGCAAUGGGCGAAAGCUUGACGGAGCAACGCCGCGUGAGUGAUGAAGGUCUUCGGAUCGUAAAACUCUGUUAUUAGGGAAGAACAAAUGUGUAAGUAACUAUGCACGUCUUGACGGUACCUAAUCAGAAAGCCACGGCUAACUACGUG